UGUACUUUUCUACAUUUUGUGCCAUUGUA
rnacentral:piRNA from 1 species